CUAUUGUACCCUGUUGCUUCGGCGGGCCCGCCGCUUGUCGGCCGCCGGGGGGGCGCCUCUGCCCCCCGGGCCCGUGCCCGCCGGAGACCCCAACACGAACACUGUCUGAAAGCGUGCAGUCUGAGUUGAUUGAAUGCAAUCAGUUAAAACUUUCAACAAUGGAUCUCUUGGUUCCGGCAUCGAUGAAGAACGCAGCGAAAUGCGAUAACUAAUGUGAAUUGCAGAAUUCAGUGAAUCAUCGAGUCUUUGAACGCACAUUGCGCCCCCUGGUAUUCCGGGGGGCAUGCCUGUCCGAGCGUCAUUGCUGCCCUCAAGCCCGGCUUGUGUGUUGGGUCGCCGUCCCCCUCUCCGGGGGGACGGGCCCGAAAGGCAGCGGCGGCACCGCGUCCGAUCCUCGAGCGUAUGGGGCUUUGUCACAUGCUCUGUAGGAUUGGCCGGCGCCUGCCGACGUUUUCCAACCAUUCUUUCCAGGUUGACCUCGGAUCAGGUAGGGAUACCCGCUGAACUUAAG
rnacentral:rRNA from 1 species